rnacentral:rRNA from 1 species
AUUGAACGCUGGCGGCAUGCCUAACACAUGCAAGUCGAACGGCAGCAUGAUGAGAUGCUUGCAUCUCAUUGAUGGCGAGUGGCGGACGGGUGAGUAACGCGUAGGAAUCUACCUUUAAGCUGGGGACAACCCGGGGAAACUCGGGCUAAUACCGAAUAGAAACUCUACGGAGGAAAGCUGGGAUCCGAAAGGGCCUGGCACUUGAAGAGGAGCCUGCGUACGAUUAGCUAGUUGGUGAGGUAAAGGCUCACCAAGGCGACGAUCGUUAGCUGGUCUGAGAGGAUGACCAGCCACACUGGGACUGAGAGACGGCCCAGACUCCUACGGGAGGCAGCAGUGGGGAAUAUUGGACAAUGGGGGCAACCCUGAUCCAGCGAUGCCGCGUGUGUGAAGAAGGCCUGAGGGUUGUAAAGCACUUUAGUUUGGGAAGAGAUGUGGGAGUUUAAGAGAUGCUCACAGAGACAUGAACCAAAGAAAAAGCCCCGGCUAAACUCGUGCCAGCCGCCGCAGUAA